GAAUCAACGCUGGCGGCGUGCCUCAGACAUGCAAGUCGAACGAUUAAAGCUCUCUUCGGAGAGUGCAUAGAGUGGCGCACGGGUGAGUAACACGUAAGUAAUCUACCCUCGGAGUGGGGAAUAACGUCCGGAAACGGACGCUAAUACCGCAUAAUGCAGCGGCAUCGCAAGAUGACAGUUGUUAAAGGAGCAAUCCGCUUGAAGNGGAGCUUGCGGCAGAUUAGCUAGUUGGUAAGGUAAUGGCUUACCAAGGCAACGAUCUGUAACCGACCUGAGAGGGUGGUCGGGUCACACUGACACUGAAUAACGGGUCAGACUCCUACGGGAGGC
rnacentral:rRNA from 1 species